rnacentral:rRNA from 1 species
GAUGAACGCUGGCGGCGUGCCUAAUACAUGCAAGUCGAGCGAACAGACGAGGAGCUUGCUCCUCUGACGUUAGCGGCGGACGGGUGAGUAACACGUGGAUAACCUACCUAUAAGACUGGGAUAACUUCGGGAAACCGGAGCUAAUACCGGAUAAUAUAUUGAACCGCAUGGUUCAAUAGUGAAAGACGGUUUUGCUGUCACUUAUAGAUGGAUCCGCGCCGCAUUAGCUAGUUGGUAAGGUAACGGCUUACCAAGGCGACGAUGCGUAGCCGACCUGAGAGGGUGAUCGGCCACACUGGAACUGAGACACGGUCCAGACUCCUACGGGAGGGCGCAGUAGGGAAUCUUCCGCAAUGGUCGAAAGCCUGGCGGAGCAACGCCGCGUGAGUGAUGAAGGUCUUCGGAUCGUAAAACUCUGUUAUUAGUGAAGAACAAAUGUGUAAGUAACUAUGCACGUCUUGACGGUACCUAAUCAGAAAGCCACGGCUAACUACGUG